AGUGAAACUGAAAAAAAGUAGAAAGAACGAGAAAAUUUACGAAAAUAAUGUUUUUAUUACAGUCAAUUUGUUUUUCAGUUAUACAUAUUCGUAGACAUGCAAUUUUGAUAGAAAAAUUAUAUUUACGUUUUUCAGAUCAAAUAAAAUAAUUGCUUGAUUGACGAUUAAUCUAUUAUACGGUUAUACGAUUAUACUGUGACUAAAUCAAACGGUCAUCAUUGUUAUUUAUUAUCGAUUUUAAUGGAUUAUUCGGUUUAUUAAUUAAUAA